CUUUUCAACCAAGGAGUGGAUUGAGGAAGUUGAUCAAAUUAAAUUCGUAAACAGGAAAAUCAAAACCAAUUGCAAAAGUUUAAUCUGUUUUGUACGUGAAUUCUUAUGAAGAUUUACACAAGACAAGCGCUCUCAAAAAUGUAAAAUGUUCCCGUUGAGCAAUCCAGGAGUAUAGUAUAACGCUGGCAGGUGACAUCUAUCGAAUGAAGAAAAACUGAAGCCAACAUUUAUUGGACCUUUCGAAAUGCAAGCAGUCCUACCAAACGAUCUAUAUGCCUUGAGAAGAGUAGGAAUCCAGAAUAGAACCAAUGAGAUCUUGGCCUAAAAAAAAGCAAAUAGUGAUGAGUGAGUGCUAGUUUCAAUGAUGCGCCAUGAUGAAGUGAAAUAUUCUCAUGUCCAUCAGAUUUUAUGUUCUAUACUGUUCCUUAUGAGAUUCUUAUUGUUAUGUUAUGA